UACGUAGGGGGGCAAACGUUGUCCGGAUUUACUGGGUGUAAAGGGUGCUCAGGCGGUCUUGUAAGUCAGAAGUGAAAUCCUAGAGCUUAACUCUGGAACUGCUUUUGAUACUGCAAGGCUUGAAUAUGGAAGAGGAGGGUGGAAUUUCUGGUGUAGCAGUGAAAUGCGUAGAUAUCAGAAAGAACACCAGUGGCGAAGGCGGCCCUCUGGUCCAUUAUUGACGCUAAAGCACGAAAGCGUGGGGAGCAAACAGG
rnacentral:rRNA from 1 species